CCUACGGGAGGCAGCAGUGAGGAAUAUUUGUUAAUUGUCGCGAGCCUGAACCAGCCCAGUAGCGUGAAGGAUUACUGCCCUACGGGUUGUUAACUUCUUUUAUUAAAGAAUUCAGUGAGGCACGUGUUCCUUUUUUUAUGUACUUUAUGAAUAAGGAUCGGCUAACUCCGGGCCCGCAGCCGCGGUAAUACGGAGGAUCCGGGCGUUUUCCGGAUUUAUUGGGUUUAAAGGGAGAGUAGAUGGGUUGUUAAGUCAGUUGUGAAAGUUUGCGGCUCAACCGUAAAAUUGCAAUUGAUACUGGCAGUCUUGAGUACAGUUGAGGUAGGCGGAAUUCGUGGUGUAGCGGUGAAAUGCUUAGAUAUCACGAAGAACUCCGAUUGCGAAGGCAGCUUACUAAACUGCCACUGACAUUGAUGCUCGAAAGUGUGGGUAUCAAACAGGAUUAGAUACCCGGGUAGUC
rnacentral:rRNA from 1 species